AGGCCCUGAAGGUUCCUGGAUGACUAGACUGGUGGAAGUGAUGGAGGACUGACUCACUGGAGGAAAAGCUCCCAGGGCCCCACAGCACCUCCCAACUACUUCAGGCCGUGUUCCCACACCGCCACAAAUCAGAGAUGCCCUCACUGACACACCUGCAGCUGUUUUCCAAUUAGUGCCGUUUUUAAGACGCCAGAUUGUUCCUCUUUCGCGCUACAUCAGUCCAAUCUUCCUGCCUCAAGUACGUUUCAUCACGGUUAAAGUAUUCCUAUUCCUGUUUCUGUAUCUUUUAUAAAACUACACAGAGCACUGUGACUGAAUGAAGUUUUUCUGUGUAAUGACUAGUUCUGUAAAUAGUAAUAUAAAGGUCCGUAGUAUACAUUUGCAGUACUUUGCUUUCGUUCUUCAGUUGGCUGGUUAGGUCUCAUUUAAAAGUCAAAUCCUCCCAAGAAUCGAUAUACUGUGCAGGAUGGAGCGGCCCACUGAUGCACGUGUUGACAUGAAGAGAAACAUUUCGAGUCUGCACACACAAACAGCCCCUGUGCAGCGAAACACGGCUGUUCCAUUUACGUGGUUGCAUCGCCUGUACGGGGCAUUGCAAUCACAAAACUAUUUGUCCUUCCAUUGUCUCAUAUAAGACUUGAACUGGACAAAUGAGUAUUUGGAGUAUAUGAGUAUAUGAGUAUUUUAUGGGUUUGGACAACAGUGGAACCCGUUGAAGUUAACAUGCUUCAGAUUGUAAUGGUAAUGGUAAUGGUAAUGGUAAUGGUAAUGGUUUUAUUUCAUUUGAACAUGCAUCAGAUUCCAAUUGAGUGCAUCCCAUAAUCAGUUCCCAGUUCCACAUGUCCAAAAGGAGUAGGAAGAAGCAAAGCUUAUUAAAUCCUACCCCUCCACCUGGUACUUUUACAAUCAGUAACUGUUACAUUUGUUCACUUCCUGCUUUCCAUAAUAUAAUUUGAGUUUUUAUUUUAUUUUUUUUAUUAAAAUUUUUUUUAUGGUUUUAUUUCAUUUGAACAUGCAUCAGACUCCAAUUGAGUGCAUCCCAUAAUCAGUUCCCAGUUCCACAUGUCCAAAAGGAGUAGGAAGAAGCAAAGCUUAUUAAAUCCUACCCCUCCAUCUGGUACUUUUACAAUCAGUAACUGUUACAUUUGUUCACUUCCUGCUUUCCAUAAUACAGUUAAAGGGUUUUUGGGGUUUUUCUUUUAAAUUUUGUAAUUUUUUGUCCCGUACCGAAGUACUCGGUGAUAUGAUCAUCCAAUGCCAUAAUGUGUACCAUAGUGCGUGUCAAUAUAGUGAUAUAUAUAGCACAUCAUGACUGGUUCAAGACUCUUCAUCCUUGUAUUUAGCAAACAUCAACUGCUUGUAUUGUUUCUUGAAUUGGCUCAUCGUUGUGCAUUGUUUGAUUCCCUUACUCAAUCCAUUCCAUAGUUUGAUUCCACAUACUGAAAUGCUAUGGCUAGCAUAACGUAGUCCUAGCAUAGAAGUGUUUCAAAUGUACUUCUUCCCUGAGAUCAUAUUUCUCCUCUCUUGUAGAGAAGUAUUGGAUGACAUUUUUAGCUAAUUGGUUGUUUUUAGCCUUAUGCAUUAUUUUAGUCGCACUUGGAACUACACACUGGAGAGAAACCGUUUCCAUGUACAGUGUGUGGCACAACAUUCCUAAAUAAAAGUUACUUAAUGCGACACACAAGAAUUGUCUGACUCAGGUUAACAUAACAUAAGCGGUUGUCGCCAUAACACAUUUAUUUGUGACUUUGAACAGCAACAUAAGGAAAAGGGUUGAUAAAGGAUUUUUUAACUUCCUGAAUGUUAGUUUCUUGGGAUUGUUUUUAUACUUCAAAUGAAACUUUAUUCAUAAAGCAUAUACGUAUGAAUAUAUACACACAUAUGUAAAAUGCCACCCAAAGUGCUUUACG